GGAUUAGAUACCCUGGUAGUCCACGCCGUAAACGAUGUCUACUAGUUGUCGGUUGUCUUGUACGACGGGUAACGCAGCUAACGCGAUAAGUAGACCGCCUGGGGAGUACGGCCGCAAGGUUAAAACUCAAAGGAAUUGACGGGGACCCGCACAAGCGGUGGAGCAUGUGGUUUAAUUCGAAGCAACGCGAAGAACCUUACCAGGGCUUGACAUACAGUGCAAAACUAUAGAGAUAUAGCAGAGGUUAACAUUGAUACAGGUGGUGCAUGGUUGUCGUCAGCUCGUGCCG
rnacentral:rRNA from 1 species